rnacentral:ncRNA from 1 species
GUGUUACCUCGCCGAACGGCCCGGGUAACCCGCUGAACCCCUUUCGUGCUUGGGAUUGGGGCUUGUAGUUGUUGCCCAUGAACGUGGAACUCCCAGUAACCGCGGGUCCUAAGCUCGCUUUGAUUACGUCCUUGCCUUUUGUACACACCGCCCGUAGCUACUACCGAUUGAAUGAUUUAGUCUUCGGACUAUUGCGCGGCAAUGCGUCGGCAUUGCCGAUGUUGCCGGGAAAAUGACCAAACUUGAUUAUUUAGAGAAAGUAAAAGUCGUAACAAGGUUUCCGUAGGUGAACCUGCGGAAGGAUCAUUA